CAAAUUUCUGCCCUAUCAACUUUCGAUGGGUAGGAUAGUGGCCUUACCAUGGUUUCAACGGGUAACGGGGAAUUAGGGUUCUAUUCCGGAGAGGGAGCCUGAGAAAGGUACACAUCCAAGGAAGGCAGAGGCGCGCAAAUUACCCAAUCCCGACUCGGGGAGGUAGUGACAAUAAAUACUUGAUUACAGGGGCACUUUUGGGUCUUGUUAAUUUGGAAUGAGGUACAAUCUAAAUCCCUUAACGAGGAACAAUUUGGAGGGCAAGUCUGGUGCCAGCAAGACGGGGUAAUUCCAGGUCCCAAAUAA
rnacentral:rRNA from 1 species